AACGAACGCUGGCGGCAGGCUUAACACAUGCAAGUCGAACGAGAUCUUCGGAUCUAGUGGCAGACGGGUGAGGAACACGUGGGAACAUCCCUUUCAGUUCGGAAUAACGUUGGGAAACUAACGCUAAUACCGGAUACGUCCUUCGGGAGAAAGAGUUAUCGCUGAAAGAUUGGCCCGCGUCUGAUUAGGUAGUUGGUGAGGUAACGGCUCACCAAGGCUACGACCAGUAGCUGAUCUGAGAGGAUGAUCAGCCACAUUGGGACUGAGAAACGGCCCAAACUCCUACGGGAGGCAGCAGUGGGGAAUAUUGGACAAUGGGCGCAAGCCUGAUCCAGCCAUGCCGCGUGAGUGAUGACGGCCUUCGGGUUGUAAAGCUCUUUUGUCCGGGAAGAUAAUGACUGUACCGGAAGAAUAAGCCCCGGCAAACUUCGUGCCAGCAGCCGCCGUAA
rnacentral:rRNA from 1 species